UAAUCCUUUUAGGUUAGUGAUAUAUAGUGCAGUAAUUAUACAGUGGCAAAUAGUGUAAAUAUGUGUGUAAUUUCAGCAAUUGAAACACUGCCAGUUCUUCUGAAUUAUUAAAAACAUGGAUUUUGGAAGGGAGCAAGAAACAGCUAUCUACUCUUUCCCGUCUACUUUUUCCCCCUCUUCCUAUGUUUUUGUAUGUUUAGAUCAUGUCUGAUACGUAUGGAUUAAGCAGUCAUUUCGGGCUCCCUCAGUUCCAUUACAUUUAUCAGGAAUUGGGCUCAGACCAGCACCGAUCUUGCCGUGCUGCCUGCCUUUGCGCGCUGGGAGCGAGCACGCGCGGCCCUGGCAGCCUCGGCAGCGUGGGGAGCGGCCGCGGGAGGAGGCCCGGCUGGACCUGGAAGCGGCUCCGCGCGCCCGGAGAUUUCAGUUCUGCUUGUUUCAGAAAUGAACCACUACUACGACUGCGAGGAGAGGAGCUGAUGACACCCACCCACCGCCCUUCCCCACGAUGUCUGAAUUUCACAUGCAAGAACACAGAAACCACAGGUCUGUCACCAAGGGAAGGAGGCUUCAGGCACAGCUUUUGCAUUUCGUCUCUGGAUAUAUUUUUAACAACAGCCUGGAAGGAACAGUGGAUACAAGGAUUUGCACGUAAAAUUUCCCAUAGAAACAGUGGUGGGAGAAUUUAUUAUUUUUUUACCUCCCGUUCCACUGCAAAGGAGGAAUGUGCAUAUAGGAAAACCCAAUUUUAAGGAGGCUUUCUUUGCAGCAGUUUUACUCUGAGACUGGCUAACCACUGACAUAAUUACCCCGCUGGUGUGUGUGCACCCACAUGCCAUGCAAGCCUGCAACUGCUGCUGAACCGAGCGUCCUAGCUCUGCUCACCACUCAUGAUUGAUAGAAAAAUCAUGACUAAUCAUGUGGACUAAAAUCAGGUGGACUAAGACACAAAUGGAAAUAACCAGUACUCUUGAUUACGCUCAUUUGAAUGGAAUUUGGGAUAACAUCUGCUGCCCCCUUUAAAGUGUGAGCGGACCUACAGCUUUGAGCUCACGGACCUCUCCUCUCCUGAUGUUCACCGAAAGAGUUGUUGCUCCUGGGUCAGCAGGUGCCGAAGACCCCCCUGCCCUGCGCGCUGCCCGCACACCCUGGGCCGGGGCGGGCUGAAUCCCACUCCUGGCCAGGCUUUUCGGCCAUCCACCCUUGGAGCCUGGAGAAACCAGAAUCCCAGAAGCAGAAGAAAGUCUGACCACGUUAUCUGUUCAACAUCUCUCUGUUUUCUUCAUGGCCAGACUUUCUGGGUGUCUCAGCUGGCAACUUUGUGCAGGCUUCUAGUUUCCUUCCUCACUGAAAAAAGUGUGCAAUUGGGACCUGUCUUUUACCAGCGUACAGAAAAGAAGCUGAUUGGAGCCAAAGUCGUCAGCAGACACCUCCUCUCCACCCUUAGAUGUACAGGUAAGAUAUCUACAAGGACCAACAUUGAACAGAAAUAAAGCUCUGAUGCUUGUCUGGCUUUUGAUCUUUACACAGGUAUCGACCUGCUGAGCCUGGUUAACUUUCUCUGCAUUGAUUAAUGCAGCUCCGUGCCAGGAAACGAGUAAGCGAGAGUUGUUUGCCUCCUAUACCAAACUGGAGAUAUGCUUGGAAAAAAACAAAAAGGUAGCAAAGGUAUCCUCUGCACCUCCGCUGAGCACGACCGACUGGUGCCGCUGACCUCCGCGGAGCCGUGCCGCUCUCUGGCUGCCGAGUCUCCAGCCUACUGAUUCCUGGUUGUGAAGCAGGUUCAGCCCAAGGAUCACAGGGGACAGAUACCUCCUUCAGAAAUAAGAAGCAGAAGAAAAACAUCCAAGCAGAAGAAUUGGAAGGCAAAGGGAAAGAAACGGAUGGGGAUUGCAACUGAAAAAUUAAUGAAGAGAGACCUCGUUUCACAAAGCUUAUAUAAAGUCGGGCUGCAUCUGUGCAAGAAACAGUGACCUAGAAAGAGACAUCUGCAAAACUUUACAGCAAGGUGCAAAACUUGGUAGCCUCUUUCUCUCUGAGUCACACCUACACUAGCACACAAGGAUCCCUCGUUUACAGCCACUGGAAACUUACCUUUAAACUUUCUACCUCUUUCCUCCCUCUUCUACAAGGUACUGACUCGGGAAGUCCGGCUCUCCAGUGCACACCAAGAAGUCCAUUGCUGAGUGCAAGUUCAGAGAAACUGGUUUGUGUUCCUGGAACAGCUUAUGCCACAUUUAUCUUGAGAUAUCAGACUUCCUAAUGUAGCUAUUUUUUUUCCCGUCCAUUUAUCAUGUAUGCAUAUUAGUACUUAGCUUCUGGCCAAGAUGAAACCUUUUCUAAUACUACUCCCGUCCAUCUGGCUGCCCUGAUGAAAAUUCUUUUUCUGGAAUGCUUGGAUUUGUUCCCAGUAUAGGUAAGCUGGUAAAUUUGUGCUUGUGGGUGUAUAAGAGCAGCAGAAAUCUGCAGGAGUCGCUCUUAAAAAUAAAAAUAAAAAAGGCAACCUGGAUAGUGCAAGGAAGGAUGGGGAAUAUUUCCCAUUUUUCUAAAAGUCAAACCCUCGAUUAAUGGGCAUCUCUGUUCAUAACCAGUCCUGGAAGAAAAAGACCUUUCUCACCUUGCACGACAGAACUGAGAGUUCUGACUCCAAAUUGCUCACUAUUUACCUGAAAAGUGGGACACUUCAAAGUUUCCCAGAAAGUAGAAGGAACAUCUCCAACAGUGCCAACUGAGCACACUAAUUUGAAUAAGAUCCCUUGUUGGCUUGCCUUUUACCUCCAGUGGAGACUCUGGAGGAUUAUUUAAAAUGCAGAUUUUUGUCUUCUCCAUUAAGAACAUCUCAGGUAAUACUGAGCGCUAGCUCUCUGCUAUUAACAGGUCUACAGGUAUUAACACGGCACUCAUCUCUCCUGCUAAUUUCUCCUGCCAAUCUUUGCCUUACAGUUCAAAAAAAUGGAUCAAAGCAUCAUCUGCUAGCUCGUAGCAUAAGUUUUUCCUGGAGUAGCAUCAUCCGUUAGCAGUCAGUCUAAUUUGAUUGUUUCCAAACCCGAAAGGACAGCUGUCAGCCUCCUCCCUCAAACUAACUCAAAGGCUAUAAUCAAGAGAUCUUCUCCAAGAAGUUGUUCAAAGCUUGGCUUAUCACUGUUCAGACAAUAAACUAGUCAAUUUACUCUAAUGGACAGGUGCAAU